GAAGAAGAGGAAAACCAAACCACCAACAACACAACAGAAGAGAAGAAAAAGAAAGGAAAAAUGGCAAGCAAAUACGUUGCAUUGUUGUUGGUGAUGUGCCUCAUAAUCUCUGAUGUCAAUGCCCUCCCUCCACCCUGCGUAAGAGAUUGUGUCGAUAAUCAUUGCGACAAAGACUACAGAAGCUGGUGCGCAAUGGCUUGUGGUAUGAAGUGCGCCUACAUGAGAUUGGGAGGAGUAAAAGCUAGUAGGAAUGCUCAAACUGAAAGUCUACCAAGGAGUUAACCCAGAAAGUGGGAAACAAGCCCUACCAAAAGCGGCAGAGAAUAAGGUUCUUCCACAAACAGGGCCAAAGAAUUGAAAGACCCUAUAGCAUCAGUUGAAUUGAGAUAUAUUGUCCUCCUUUUCUCUGCUUGCCAUUAACUACCAUUAUAAUUAAUAUAAAUAUUCUCCAUGUUCUUCUGAUUC